rnacentral:rRNA from 1 species
UACAGGGGGUGCAAACGUUGCUCGGAAUUAUUGGGCGUAAAGCGCGCGUAGGCGGCUACUUAAGUCGGAUGUGAAAGCCCUUGGCUCAACUGAGGAAGUGCACCCGAAACUGAGUGGCUUGAGUACGAAAGAGGGUCGCGGAAUUCCCGGUGUAGAGGUGAAAUUCGUAGAUAUCGGGAGGAACACCGGUGGCGAAGGCGGCGACCUGGGUCGAUACUGACGCUGAUGCGCGAAAGCGUGGGGAGCAACAGG